rnacentral:rRNA from 1 species
GAUGAACGCUGGCGGCGUGCCUAAUACAUGCAAGUCGAGCGAACGGACGAGAAGCUUGCUUCUCUGAUGUUAGCGGCGGACGGGUGAGUAACACGUGGAUAACCUACCUAUAAGACUGGGAUAACUUCGGGAAAGCGGAGCUAAUACCGGAUAAUAUUUUGAACCGCAUGGUUCAAAAGUGAAAGACGGUCUUGCUGUCACUUAUAGAUGGAUCCGCGCUGCAUUAGCUAGUUGGUAAGGUAACGGCUUACCAAGGCAACGAUGCAUAGCCGACCUGAGAGGGUGAUCGGCCACACUGGAACUGAGACACGGUCCAGACUCCUACGGGAGGCAGCAGUAGGGAAUCUUCCGCAAUGGGCGAAAGCCUGACGGAGCAACGCCGCGUGAGUGAUGAAGGUCUUCGGAUCGUAAAACUCUGUUAUUAGGGAAGAACAUAUGUGUAAGUAACUGUGCGCAUCUUGACGGUACCUAAUCAGAAAGCCACGGCUAACUACGUGCCAGCAGCCGCGGUAAUACGUAGGUGGCAAGCGUUAUCCGGAAUUAUUGGGCGUAAAGCGCGCGUAGGCGGUUUUUUAAGUCUGAUGUGAAAGCCCACGGCUCAACCGUGGAGGGUCAUUGGAAACUGGAAAACUUGAGUGCAGAAGAGGAAAGUGGAAUUCCAUGUGUAGCGGUGAAAUGCGCAGAGAUAUGGAGGAACACCAGUGGCGAAGGCGACUUUCUGGUCUGUAACUGACGCUGAUGUGCGAAAGCGUGGGGAUCAAACAGGAUUAGAUACCCUGGUAGUCCACGCCGUAAACGAUGAGUGCUAAGUGUUAGGGGGUUUCCGCCCCUUAGUGCUGCAGCUAACGCAUUAAGCACUCCGCCUGGGGAGUACGACCGCAAGGUUGAAACUCAAAGGAAUUGACGGGGACCCGCACAAGCGGUGGAGCAUGUGGUUUAAUUCGAAGCAACGCGAAGAACCUUACCAAAUCUUGACAUCCUUUGACAACUCUAGAGAUAGAGCCUUCCCCUUCGGGGGGGCAAAGUGACAGGUGGUGCAUGGUUGUCGUCAGCUCGUGUCGUGAGAUGUUGGGUUAAGUCCCGCAACGAGCGCAACCCUUAAGCUUAGUUGCCAUCAUUAAGUUGGGCACUCUAAGUUGACUGCCGGUGACAAACCGGAGGAAGGUGGGGAUGACGUCAAAUCAUCAUGCCCCUUAUGAUUUGGGCUACACACGUGCUACAAUGGACAAUACAAAGGGCAGCGAAACCGCGAGGUCAAGCAAAUCCCAUAAAGUUGUUCUCAGUUCGGAUUGUAGUCUGCAACUCGACUACAUGAAGCUGGAAUCGCUAGUAAUCGUAGAUCAGCAUGCUACGGUGAAUACGUUCCCGGGUCU